rnacentral:misc_RNA from 1 species
UUUCCGUAGGUGAACCUGCGGAAGGAUCAUUAUUGUAUAAACGAGCUGCGAGGGCUGUCGCUGACCCGAAAGGUCGUACACGCUCGACUGCCCUCACACACAUCCAUCUCACCCCUACGUUCCCUACCGCGUGGGUCCCCCCUUCGGCUUUUUCGGAGGGGGGCUUACGUUGCCACACAAACUUUGUAUGCAGUGUAGAAUGUAUUUUUUGUUUUUGCGAUCACGCAAUCAAUACAACUUUCAACAACGGAUCUCUUGGCUCUG